rnacentral:rRNA from 1 species
AUGCAAGUCGAACGGCAGCACGGGGGCAACCUUGGUGGCGAGUGGCGAACGGGUGAGUAAUAUAUCGGAACAUGUCCGGAAGUGGGGGAUAACGUACCGAAAGGUACGCUAAUACCGCAUAUGCCCUGAGGGGGAAAGGAGGGGAUCGUAAGACCUUUCGCUUUCGGAGUGGCCGAUAUCGGAUUAGCUAGUUGGUGAGGUAAAGGCUCACCAAGGCGACGAUCCGUAGCUGGUCUGAGAGGACGACCAGCCACACUGGAACUGAGACACGGUCCAGACUCC